GGCAACCUACGGGGGGCAGCAGUAGGGAAUUUUCGUCAAUGGGCGCAAGCCUGAACGAGCAAUGCCGCGUGAACGAGGAAGGUCUUCGGAUCGUAAAGUUCUGUUGAAGGGGAAAAAGAGCGGAGAGAGGAAAUGAACUCCGAUUGAUAUUACCCUUCGAGGAAGUCACGGCUAACUACGUGCCAGCAGCCGCGGUAAUACGUAGGUGGCGAGCGUUAUCCGGAAUGAUUGGGCGUAAAGGGUGCGUAGGCGGCCUGCUAAGUCUGGAGUGAACGGCACCGGCUCAACAGGUACAGGCUCUGGAA
rnacentral:rRNA from 1 species